rnacentral:rRNA from 1 species
AAUAAGCCCCGGCUAACUACGUGCCAGCAGCCGCGGUAAUACGUAGGGGGCGAGCGUUGUCCGAAUUUACUGGGCGUAAAGCGCGCGUAGGCGGGUCUGUAAGUCGGUGGUGAAAUCCCGAGGCUCAACCUCGGAACUGCCUUCGAAACUGCGGGCCUUGAGGUUUGGAGAGGGAAGUGGAAUUCCUGGUGUAGCGGUGAAAUGCGUAGAUAUCAGGAGGAACACCUGUGGCGAAGGCGGCUUCCUGGCCAUAUCCUGACGCUGAGGUGCGAAAGCUAGGGGAGCGAACGGGAUUAGAUACCCCGGUAGUCCUAGCCGUAAACGAUGGAUACUAGGUGUUAGAGGUAUUGACCCCUCUAGUGCCGGAGCUAACGCA